rnacentral:rRNA from 1 species
UACGAAGGGGGCUAGCGUUGUUCGGAAUUACUGGGCGUAAAGGGCGCGUAGGCGGUGUGUCAAGUCAGGCGUGAAAGCCCCGGGCUCAACCUGGGAACAGCGCUUGAGACUGGCACGCUCGAGUUCGGGAGAGGAUGGUGGAAUUCCCAGUGUAGAGGUGAAAUUCGUAGAUAUCGGGAGGAACACCGGUGGCGAAGGCGGCGGCCUGGGUUGACACUGACGCUGGAGGCGCGAAAGCGUGGGGAGCAAACAGG